ACGCUCGACACCUACUGGAGGCAGCAGUGGGGAAUAUUGCACAAUGGGGGAAACCCUGAUGCAGCGACGCCGCGUGAAGGAUGAAGUAUUUCGGUAUGUAAACUUCUAUCAGCAGGGAAGAAAGUGACGGUACCUGACUAAGAAGCCCCGGCUAACUACGUGCCAGCAGCCGCGGUAAUCUGAGGCGGGCUGGCAAGGC
rnacentral:rRNA from 1 species